AUGCCAGCUAAGGAACUUCUCGAGGUGAUCAAUGUGUGUUGUGAAUUCUAUAGCUGGGUCACACCAGGCAUCAUAGCGGCUAGACAUCAGCUGCUAGACAUAUACGAUACAGCUACGCAGCACCAGAUUCAUCAGGUGAGGGAGCAGCUUCGGCAGCUGAAGAACGACCUUUGGAAGCUCCGGACAACUGUGGUGCCCAAGAUGCUUGACCUCAUUGACCGCGUCGAGUGGCAGAGCCAUAAGAAACCAGAAGCAGACCUACUCCCAGACAUCAAGGAUGCAGUGUACGAUGCUGAUGACCUCCUUGAUGAAUUUAAUUAUUAUGCAAUGAAGUUGGGGGUUGAGCAGAGCAAGAAUUCGGGGCAAGAUCACAUGGAAGGUGCCUUUCUGCGGUUCUACAGAAGUAUCAAGGAUUGUGCCCACUUUAGCAAAGCGAAAGAAAUACAAGCUAGAUCAUAUCUAUGA
rnacentral:rRNA from 1 species